rnacentral:rRNA from 1 species
CCUACGGGAGGCAGCAGUAGGGAAUAUUGGACAAUGGACGCAAGUCUGAUCCAGCCAUCCCGCGUGAAGGAUUAAGGCCCUAUGGGUUGUAAACUUCUUUUCUUUGGGAGUAAAAAGCGGUAUUCAUAUCGCCUUGAAGGUACCAGAGGAAUAAGCACCGGCUAACUCCGUGCCAGCAGCCGCGGUAAUACGGAGGGUGCAAGCGUUAUCCGGAUUCACUGGGUUUAAAGGGUGCGUAGGUGGCUUUGUAAGUCAGCGGUGAAAGCCUGGAGCUCAACUCCAGAAUUGCCAUUGAUACUGCAGAGCUUGAAUCAAGUUGAGGUGGAUGGAAUAUUACAUGUAGCGGUGAAAUGCUUAGAUAUGUAAUAGAACACCGAUUGCGAAGGCAGUUCACUAAGCUUGUAUUGACACUGAGGCACGAAAGCGUGGGGAUCAAACAGGAUUAGAUACCCUGGUAGUCCACGCCCUAAACGAUGCAAACUCGACAUUAGCGAUAUACAGUUAGUGUCCAAGCGAAAGCGUUAAGUUUGCCACUGGAGUACGACGCGAGUAGAACGACGAAGAGUAGUAGACGNGAGAGAGACGACGACGACGACGAGGAGGAGGAG